rnacentral:rRNA from 1 species
CCUACGGGAGGCAGCAGUGAGGAAUAUUGGUCAAUGGGCGCGAGCCUGAUCCAGCCAAGUAGCGUGAAGGAUGACUGCCCUACGGGUUGUAAACGUCUUUUAUAAAGGAAUAAAGUGAGGCACGUGUGCCUUUUUGUAUGUACUUUAUGAAUAAGGAUCGGCUAACUCCGUGCCAGCAGCCGCGGUAAUACGGAGGAUCCGAGCGUUAUCCGGAUUUAUUGGGUUUAAAGGGAGCGUAGAUGGGUUGUUAAGUCAGUUGUGAAAGUUUGCGGCUCAACCGUAAAAUUGCAAUUGAUACUGGCAGUCUUGAGUACAGUUGAGGUAGGCGGAAUUCGUGGUGUAGCGGUGAAAUGCUUAGAUAUCACGAAGAACUCCGAUUGCGAAGGCAGCUUACUAAACUGCCACUGACAUUGAUGCUCGAAAGUGUGGGUAUCAAACAGGAUUAGAUACCCCAGUAGUC